rnacentral:rRNA from 1 species
UCGGGAAUUUUGGGCAAUGGGCGAAAGCCUGACCCAGCAACGCCGCGUGAAGGAUGAAGUAUUUCGGUAUGUAAACUUCGAAAGAAUAGGAAGAAUAAAUGACGGUACUAUUUAUAAGGUCCGGCUAACUACGUGCCAGCAGCCGCGGUAAUACGUAGGGACCAAGCGUUGUUCGGAUUUACUGGGCGUAAAGGGCGCGUAGGCGGCAAUUCAAGUCAUCUGUGAAAUCUCCGGGCUUAACUCGGAACGGUCAGAUGAUACUGCUUUGCUAGAGUGCAGAAGGGGCAAUCGGAAUUCUUGGUGUAGCGGUGAAAUGCGUAGAUAUCAAGAGGAACACCUGAGGUGAAGACGGGUUGCUGGGCUGACACUGCUAGGACGAAAGCGUGGGGAGCGAAUGGGAUUAGAUACCCCCGUAGUCCCUGAGCGGGCUGGCAAGGCGCAU